rnacentral:rRNA from 1 species
GACGAACGCUGGCGGCGUGCUUAACACAUGCAAGUCGAACGAAGUGGCGAACGGGUGAGUAACGCGUAAUCAACCUGCCCUUCAGAGGGGGACAACAGUUGGAAACGACUGCUACUACCGCAUACUGAAGGAGGGGAUUGCGUCUGAUUAGCGAGUUGGAGGGGUAACGGCCCCCCAAGGCGAUGAUCAGCAGCCGGUCUGAGAGGGUGAUCGGCCACACUGGGAAUGAGACACGACCCAGACUCCUACGGGAGGCAGCAGGAGGGCAGCUUCGGCAAUGGACGAAAGGCUAACCGAGCAACGCCGCGUGAGUGAAGAAGGUUUUCGGAUCGUAAGACUCUGUUGUGAGAGAAGCGGUAUCUAACCAGAAAGCCACGGCUAACUACGUGCCAGCAGCCGCGGUAAUAC